GGACUCGUAGCCUAGCCUGGACAGGGCACCAGCCUUCUAAGCUGGGGAUCCGGGGUUCGAAUCCCCGCGAGUCCG
rnacentral:tRNA from 2 species